rnacentral:rRNA from 1 species
UGGGGAAUAUUGGGCAAUGGGGGAAACCCUGACCCAGCAACGCCGCGUGAAGGAAGAAGGCUUUCGGGUUGUAAACUUCUUUUAUGAGGGACGAAGAAGUGACGGUACCUCAUGAAUAAGCCACGGCUAACUACGUGCCAGCAGCCGCGGUAAUACGUAGGUGGCAAGCGUUGUCCGGAUUUACUGGGUGUAAAGGGCGCGUAGGCGGGAUAGCAAGUCAGGUGUGAAAUCCGGGGGCUCAACCCUCGAACUGCACUUGAAACUGUUAUUCUUGAGUGAUGGAGAGGCAGGCGGAAUUCCUAGUGUAGCGGUGAAAUGCGUAGAUAUUAGGAGGAACACCAGUGGCGAAGGCGGCCUGCUGGACAUUAACUGACGCUGAGGCGCGAAAGCGUGGGGAGCAAACA